rnacentral:rRNA from 1 species
UGGGGAAUAUUGCACAAUGGAGGGAACUCUGAUGCAGCGACGCCGCGUGAACGAAGAAGGCUUUCGAGUCGUAAAGUUCUUUUAUAUGGGAAGAUAAUGACGGUAACAUAAGAAAAAGCCCCGGCUAACUACGUGCCAGCAGCCGCGGUAAUACGUAGGGGGCUAGCGUUGUCCGGAAUCACUGGGCGUAAAGGGUUCGCAGGCGGAAAUGCAAGUCAGGUGUAAAAGGCAGUAGCUUAACUACUGUAAGCAUUUGAAACUGCAUAUCUUGAGAAGAGUAGAGGUAAGUGGAAUUUUUAGUGUAGCGGCGAAAUGCGUAGAUAUUAAAAAGAAUACCGGUGGCGAAGGCGGCUUACUGGGCUCAUUCUGACGCUGAGGAACGAAAGCGUGGGUAGCAAACAGG